CUCAAAAGAACCCCGCUUUUUUGAAAUGACUGCAGAUGAAGGAAAUAACCGAUCAUAGUUCACUCCAAACAAGCCAUGCUCAACCAGGUCCCUUGCCUAUGUGCUAGGACUGCUCGACCUUCUCCGCACGAACAAAGCCAGGAAAUUCCUUUCAUAAACAAAUAUACUUUCUUUUUUAAGUAAAUAUAAAUGCAUAAUAAAACGAGAUAUUUAUUCUCCUGCUCGCGGGGUACAGCAAAUGCCCUGUGAUCCAUCAACCUAUCAACCCGUAGCAGCCGAUCCUACAGAAGCCCUAGAAGAGACAAGGCCAUGUGACGAAUCCUUGGUAUCCAAACCCUAACC
rnacentral:lncRNA from 1 species